rnacentral:lncRNA from 1 species
CAGGUUACCUUGUUUUGCUCUUUUAUUCCUCCCUAUAUUCUCAAGAUUUGAAUUGAAUGAGUCUCGUGCAGUCAUAUGCAUAUUUCUGAUAAGACCCACAUGUGAGCCAAUAUGAUAAGAGAGAGCUCCCAAUUUGAUACAAAAGCAAUUACCAAGCCGGCAACCUAAUUUGCUAAGUUCUUUAGAACCAGUACCAAUGCAUCACCCUUCCUGCUUGACUUGUUAUGGUAGUUUGCACCCUUUCGAAGCAGGGCUCAUUUAUUGUAGGCGUAUCAGUUAACUGUAGGCCAAUCGAGUUGCCAAAAAUAAACCGCUCAAUCAAGUUGGUAAUUGUCGAUUGUUGAUUUGGAAAAUAGAAAACAAAAAAAGAUCCUUUAACCUGAACAUACACCAAGUGCAUUAAAAAUAGAACCAGUACCAAUGCAUCACCCUUCCUGCUUGACUUGUUAUGGUAGUUUGCACCCUUUCGAAGCAUGGCUCAUUUAUUGUAGGCGUAUCAGUUAACUGUAGGCCAAUCGAGUUGCCAAAAAUAAACCGCUCAAUCAAGUUGGUAAUUGUCGAUUGUUGAUUUGGAAAAUAGAAAACAAAAAAAGAUCCUUUAACCUGAACAUACACCAAGUGCAUUAAAAAUAGAAAACAAGGUUAGGAGCAUGGCAUGGUGGCUGGUUGGCUGGCUUAAUUGAUUCUUGUUUGAUUAUUUGCAAGUGAUCAUCUUUUUUGGCAAUGUCGUUGGUUACGUUGCUUCAUUUACCAAAAGUUUUCUCAAAGUCACCCUCACUCAGCCACCAAAUAUAUCUAGGGUCAAUAUUACUUGUAAACUUAUUUCUUCAAAUAUGCUAAGCUAGAUUUACAAAAAUGCUCAACAAGGUUUACAAAUCUGCCUUUACUUUCUGAACUUCCAUGUACCAUGACUAAAACUGCCAAUUGACAUUGUUAAUUUAAAACUGAGCACAAAUCUUUCAAUAUAUCUUGUCAUUCAAUAGUAGUUUGAGGAAAAGACAUUGCUAACAAUCAGAUAAAUACUAAUAUGAAAAAAUCUAAAGUU